AAGCUGGAGUCGGAAUAAUGGCAACCAAACUUGGAAUGAUGAGUUUCUUUGAAGAUUCAGGAACAGUGGUGCCUGUUACUGUUGUAGGGUUUCGCGAAGGAAAUAUUAUUACUCAAAUUAAAACUGAAGCUACUGAUGGAUAUAGUGCUGUACAAGUUGGGUAUCGACGAGUUCGUGAUAGAAAACUAACUAAACCUGAAAUGGGUCAUCUUGAAAAAUCUGGGAUUAUUCCUCUCCGUCAUUUGCAGGAGUUUCGUCUUCAGUCUGUUGAUGGAUUUGAAGUAACGCAGAA
rnacentral:lncRNA from 1 species